CUAAUAAAUUUAAUUCGCAAACUGUUCGAAAAAAAAACACCAGAGAGGAGACUACACUUGACGGGGAUCAAACGGUGAAACUACAACUGAUAAUAUAACUCCAAACUCCAAGUAUAAUAGAAUUUUUUUUGCAACAAUAAUAUCUUUCAUAUUAUAUUGAACGAAGAAAA